GACGAACGCUGGCGGCGUGCUUAACACAUGCAAGUCGAACGGAAAGGCUCCAGCUUGCUGGAGUACUCGAGUGGCGAACGGGUGAGUAACACGUGGGUGAUCUGCCCUGCACUUCGGGAUAUGCCUGGGAAACUGGGUCUAAUACCGGAUAGGACCGCACUUUGGUGUGUGUGGUGGAAAGGUUUUUCUGGUGUGGGAUGAGCUCGCGGCCUAACAGUUUGUUGGUGGGGUAAUGGCCUACCAAGACGGCGACGGGUAGCCGGCCUGAGAGGGUGGACGGUCGCAUUGGGACUGAGGUACGGCCCAGACUCCUACUGGAGGCAGCAGGGGGGAAUAUUGCACAAUGGGGGAAGCCCUGAUGCAGCGACGCCGCGUGGGGGAUGAAGGCCUUCGGGUUGUAAACUCCUUUCGCUAGGGACGAAGCUUUUUGUGACGGUACCUGGAGAAGAAGCACCGGCUAACUACGUG
rnacentral:rRNA from 1 species